ACCUGGCUGGCUCAGUUGGCAGAGCAUGUGACUCUUGAUCUUGGGGUUGUGAGUUCAAGCCUCACGUCGGGUA
rnacentral:tRNA from 1 species